rnacentral:lncRNA from 1 species
CUCAGCAAUAAUUCUUCCAUAAGGAGAUCUGUUUACCUUUCUAUGGUUGUUUCUGAAACCCAAGACUUCAUGUAGGUGGCGUACAGGAACAUGUGCAAACACAUUCUACAUCCCAAGAUAUGUUGCUGGAAGCGUUCAAUAAAUGCUGUUAAGUUUCACCA